UUUUAUCAAACUACUCCUACCAACGAAAAGGUAAGGAACCCAAUACAAUCAUCUCAUUACAAAGGCAUGCUCAUAAUAAUUAACAAAGAAGCAAAAGUGGGAUCAUCUACAAAUUGUGACUGCCGUUAUUUAGCUUAGAAACUGAGGGACGAGAUUGAUCCUUGGAAUCCAACUCAGUCUGCCAAACUACUACUCUACUUGCUUCAGAUGUAAUUGUUCUCUAAUAAAAUUCAUACAUCUGAG
rnacentral:lncRNA from 1 species